rnacentral:rRNA from 1 species
AUGAACGCUGGCGGCGUGUCUAAGGCAUGCAAGUCGUGGGAUCGGCCGGGCGUAGCAAUACGCUCGGUACGGACCGGCAAACGGGUGAGUAACACACUGGUAACCUACCUCCGAGACGGGGAUAGCCCGCCGAAAGGCGGAUUAAUACCCGAUGGUCAUGCGGGGUCAUAAGACAUUCGCAUGUAAAUCUUUUUGGCUCGGAGAGGGGCCUAUGUCUGAUUAGCUAGUUGGUAGGGUAACGGCCUACCAAGGCUAUGAUCAGUAGCAGGCGUGAGAGCGUGACCUGCCUCACUGGGACUGAGACACUGCCCAGACACCUACGGGUGGCUGCAGUCGAGAAUCUUCCCCAAUGGACGAAAGUCUGAGGGAGCGACGCCGCGUGCAGGAUGAAGGCCUUCGGGUUGUAAACUGCUUUUGUACGGGACGAAUUCGUGACGGUACCGUACGAAUAAGAGGUUGCUAACUCUGU